rnacentral:tRNA from 1 species
GCCUGAGUAGCUCAAUUGGUAGAGCUUUAGUCUUGUAAACUAAUGGUUGUGGGUUCAAGUCUCACCUCUGGCA